rnacentral:rRNA from 1 species
UACGAAGGGGGCGAGCGUUGUUCGGAUUUACUGGGCGUAAAGGGCGCGCAGGCGGUCAUUUUUGUCGAGUGUGAAAGCCCCGGGCUUAACCUGGGAACUGCGCUCGAAACGGGAUGCUAGAGAUCGGGAGAGGAGAGUGGAAUUCCUAGUGUAGAGGUGAAAUUCGUAGAUAUUGGGAAGAACACCGGUGGCGAAGGCGGCUCUCUGGACCGAUACUGACGCUGAGACGCGAAAGCGUGGGGAGCGAACGAGG